CAGGAGGCGGGGCGCGCACGGACGAGGUGCCCGGGGCGGAGGUGGGGGCCGAGGGCCAGAGCGCGGGGCAGCCGGCGGGGCAGGGCUGCAGGGACAGUAGGGGAGGCUCGGGGUAGAGUCUGGAGAAGAGUUGCAGAGACACUCAAGUCCAGGGGGAGGGAGAAGUCGGCGCCGGCCUUAGGAAAGGCUGAGAAAUGGGAACGGAGAGACCGGGAGCGGGGGACGGGAAGGCUGAGAAAACGGGAGGAGAACAAGUGGAGAAGGACACAGAGACGAGGAGCCAGAGCUUUCACGGGAGGCAGACGGAAGGGAAGAAAAUGGCCUCUAUCCUAUAGGUUCCAGGCACAGAAGCUGAAGAGGAAAGAAAGUGUAAUAAUUUUUCCUGAUUCCAAGAACUGAACCAGGAAAGAGUUUGCCUUCUUGAAACAUGAGGUCACCCUUCUUUGUGAUUUCAGAAGAUAUAACUAUAGAUAUUUGUUUUCAAUUUCUUUUGUAACUCAGGUCACAACUGGAAGGCUCUUGUGUUGUAUGUUGGUUUGUUUCGUUUCCCCGAGUGUGGAAUAAUACCUGCUUGGAGGGAGGCCAGAGUGGAGAGGGACUGAGGUUCAGGGUCUGCUCCUGGCACAGCCAUCAUCUCCCUGUGACCCGUCUCCGAGCCUCAGCGUUCUUUGCUAUGUUAUAGUGGAGAACAAAGCAACAAAGGCAACGAUAAAACCCUGUUCCUGGGCAGCAGCAUGGAGGGGGCUGCAAAGGAUGCUUGUUGUCCCACAUGCCUGAUCUCCCCUUCCUCCUGAUUCCUAAACUUCUGUAUUUUUAGCUGAGCACGUGGUGACCCUCAACAUAGACUGUUUCCUUGUCUCCCUUGUUAGACGUGGUCAAUGGAAAAUAAGCAAAAGUUUUUUAAAGGGAAGGGAUGUUUUCUCUUUCUCUGGUUACUCCUUUCUAAUGGCUAGAAUGUGGAUGUGAUGGCUGGAGCAUAAGCAGCUAUUUUAUUCUAUUUUUUAAAAUUACUUUAUUGAGGUCAUACUGGUUUAUAACAUUGUGUAACUCAGAUGUACAUUAUUAUAUAUCAGUUUCUGUAUAGACUGCAUUGUGCUUACCCCUAAUAGUCUAGUUUUGGUUUUUUGUUUGUUUGUUUGUUUUGCUGGGGAAGAUUAGCCCUGGGCUAACAUCUCUUGCCAAUCUUCUACUUUUUACAUGUGGGUUGCUGCCACCGCGUGGCUGAUGAGUGGUGUAGGUUGGUGCCCAGGAUCUGAACCCAUGAACCUGGGCUGCCAAAGUGGAGUGCCGGCCCCCCCAAUAGUCUGUUUUUUAUCCGUCACCAUAUAUAUGUGCCUCUUUACCAUUUUUGCCACCCCCCUUCCCUUCUGGUAACCACUAAUCUGUUCUCUUUAUCCAUGUGUUUGUUUAUCUUCCACAUAUGAGCGAAAUCAUAUGGUGUUUGUCUUUCUCUGUCUGGCUUAUUUCACUUAACCUAAUACCCUGCAGGUCCAUCCAUCCAAAUGGGAUGAUUUUGUCUUUUUAUGGCUGAGUAGUAUUCCAUUGUAUAUAUAUACCACAUCUUCCUUAUCCAGUCAGCAGUGGCUGGGCACUUGGGUUGCUUCCACAUCCUGGCUAUUGUGAAUAACGCUGCAGUGAACAUACGGGUGCAUAGAUCCCUGUGUAUUGUUGGUUUCACGUUCUUUGGAUAAAUACCCAGGGGUAGGAUUGCUGGAUCAUAUGGUAUUUCUAUUUUUAAUUUUUUGAGAAAUCUCCACACUGUUUUCCAUAGUGCACAAGCAGUAUUUCAGACCAUGAGGAAACCUUAGGAAUGAAAGCUGCCUGCUGCAGAGCAAGCAGACCGAGAGCGCCUGGGCUCCCGGCACCGUGGAACACUACCACCCGGGGACUGCCUCUGUACUUCUUGAAUAAGACGGGGAAAUACACCUCCGUCUAGUGUACUCCACUGGUAUUUGGGGUUUGUUAUUUGCAGCCUUAUGCUACACAAGGCGGGAGAAUCAUCAAUGAGGCUGUUUCAGUAACUGAAAGGAGAGACGAGGGCCGAACCGCAGUGGGAAGUGGAUUUAAGAGACAUUUGUCUGGGACACGCCAAGGUCCCGGGCCCGAGGGACCUUAAUGGGGGCUGCUGAUCGCAACGAUAUAGAGUUCAGCAGGAAGGUCUGAGUUGGAGAAAACAGAUGUGCCCAGAGAGGUACAGAUGCCCCCAGUCACACAGCCAGCAGGGGCUGGACCCUGACUGGAGAGGGUAUUAGGUAUCUACUGAUGAGCAAGAAAUUACUCCCAAACUCCUCGAGUGAGCGGGCGUCAGGGGUCUGGGAGCUGCUGAGCUGGGGGCUCUAGCUUGGGGCCUGUCGUGAGGGAGCUGGUAGGACGCUGGCCAGGCUGCAGUCACAGAAGGCUUGACGGGGCUGGAGGAACCGCUUGCAAGGUUUAUGCCCCUGGCUGUGCCCCGCGCUGACGGCCUGCCCUGUGCCCGCCAGUGCUGGAAGUUUUACCUGAGCAAUAUUGAUGCCACUACUGGGGGUGGAGGGGAGAGAAAGUGUGGCAUAGUGGCCGAUGCUGGUAAGUCCCAGCAAAGGCAGUUGGGAUGACUAAGAGAAAUGCUGCCUAUAGGCAUGUGGCCCACAGUGAGCGCUCCCUAGAUGUUAGCCCUGGGUGGGCGAGGGGCAGACACUGAGGGUCAAGUCGCCCCCAGCUUUGCCUCUGGGUCGUGGUGGUGCCUCGGUCUCCUCAGCCAUCACACGAUGCUAACAUCCGUCUUCUAGGGUCGUCUGAGGGUGAAAAGAGGAAGUACGUGUCAAACGCCUAAGCUGGUGCCUGGCACAUCAUAAUUGCUCAAAUAAAGCUUUACGAUGGUUCAUUUCCUGCUCAGAACUCUCCAGGGGCUUCCCCUUGCCUGCAGCCCCACCGCCGGCCCUUCAAAGCCUGCUCUGAAUCCCGCCACCCUCUCCAGCCUGGCUGCUGGCCUCCAGCACCCCCUCCUGCCCCCUGACAGGCAUCCCCACGCCCAGCCCUUCCUUCCGCUUGUUUCUUUCCCCGUGGGAUCUCCCAGAGGGCCCCGCCCUCCUGUAACCCCAGGGCGCUGCGUGCCCCUCAGUGCUUGUUCCUUGCACUUGUUCCCGGCCUCGUGCUGGGCACAGCCCUGGCGGUGGCUAGCUCAGCUGAGGUGGGAGGGCAUGGGGCGGGGGGGCAGGGGGCAUCGGCGAGAGGAGGGUGCUGCUCCGGGCAGGCUGCCCGGAGGAAGUGAGCCUGAGCUGAGGGGCGCGUGGGACCCAUGCCCCUCCGGGUGUCCAGCCAGCCGUGGAUGGCAGUUGUGUGUUUUUCAUCCGCACACUCUAUCUGCUCAAUAGUUGCUUUUGAAUGUGACUGGGAGGAGGGUCAUUUGAGGAUUUGAGGUCUGAGAACUUUGCCCCAAAUACCCUCCCCCACUAGCACGUUCAAGGUGCCAGAAACCUCCCCAUUAGAACCAUGUGCCGCUCAGGAGCCAGCGUCUCCAGAAAGCUCCUGUUCGCGUCUGCACCUGCAUGUCCCGUGGGUGGGUGACGAGCAGCCGGUUAGUCCUGAAGAACUGAUCUGACAAACCAUCUUGAAACCACUGAGCAUGUCACAGGCUUCGCUCCUCCUCAGGUCCCCCCCAACCCCCAAGUCACCCCCUGGUGGUACUUUGGGGAGUAACCUGCCCCCGAAGCUGUGCAGCCUCACCUUGUCCAAACUCACCCCUCUGAGGGCUGUCCCCAGGGCCCUGCUGAGGCUUCCCACAGUGGCAAAUGUGAGGAUCCCAUGGAGCCUGAGGGGCGAUGGCCUCCUCCGUCCCCCUCGCCCAUGUAUUACCCCAGGAGAAAGGCGGGGCCUUCCCUGGAGCCUGCUCCCAUGGAAUGUGGAGCAGCUGUGCUGGGGUGGCGUGAGCUCAGAGCUGGAAGAGACCCCGAUAAGCCAAUUGUUCAGCCCUGUGCUGUUAGGCAGGCAAGGUGCUAUUAUUAUCCGUGGUUUGGGAUGAGGAAAACCCCUAACUGAGCUACUUCACCCCAUCCCCCUGAUCAGGCCAGCUCUGUCUUGCGGCGAAGCACAUCCGCCUGGGGCUUUUGCACCAGAUGGUGUCACAGCACUUCCAGGAGGGAGAGAGGUGUGCUGGACGGGAGCAAGGGGCAGGCGGCCUCCACCCGACACCUCACUCGAACGGCUUCGACAGGAGGAAGAUUCUGCUCUCCUGUGACAAGGUGGCCAGAGGGGAAGUGGUUCCAGUGCUGGUUAAUUGAGAGGCAUCAUCAAGGACCGAGAUUGUUUUCAGCCUUCAUCUCUGCCAUUGCCAAGGGGUCAGCCAUGUUUUUCCUCAUGGUCACAAGAUAGCUACUUGUCCCCAAGCAUCACGUGUAGACAUGACAUUGGACAGUGAAAAGAGAAGAGAAGAACUCUCCUGGAAGCUGCCAACAAUCCAUCCUCAUGUCUCAGCGGCCAUAAUUACACCACUGCUCAUUUGAAAUCCAAUAUUAAUGCAAUGCUGGGCGACAGUUAAUUCUCCUUGGGUCUCUCAUGCUUCUGCACAUCUCUCGAGGAGGUUUGGAUGGUGAGCAGCCUUAGACGAUGGUGUUUUCCCCCAGAUCAAAGGGCAGCUUUGCUUAGUUCCCAUUGUGAAAGACUCAGCUUCCCUAAGCUCAGGGUUCCUCUCCUUUAACGCCAACCACUGUUGUCACAUGACCACACCUCACUGCAAAGGAGGCUGGGAAAUGUAGUCUUUAGUGAGACAGUCAGGUGCUCAGCUGAAAGUUCCAUUUCUAUGGAAGGAGGAGAAUGGAUAUUGGGGCAAUUGGCAGUCUCUGCCACAGUCACUCCAACGACACCGGGCUUCUGUUAGGGGAUCAGGAGGAACGGUGCUGGAGAGGCAACAGCGGUGCCUGCAUAAGAGGCUUGGUGCCUUGAACCCAUUUGACAGCUGAGGAAUCGAGCGCACAGAGGGAGGUGUCAGGGCGGGUGACUCCUGGCUUCAGGUUUUCCCAUCGUCUUCCCACCGCAGGGUCAGCGCACGUCGGGGGAGGCCGCCUCCUCCUAAAAACACUCAGUUCCCUGGGCUUCCGCGCGUCCUCCUCGCCCCGGCCCCUCCGCCCUUCGGUCUCCCUUUCUGUCUCCUUCCCCUCCUUCUCUCCCCCCCGUCCCUGCGGGAGCCCCCAGCCCGGCCCUCUCACUGGCAUGAUGUCUGUUCCGCUGACCCGUGGCGCUGAACAUCCCUCCUCACCGUGACCCCCCCUCCCCUCUCUGUGCUCUGGACGCGUGUACCCAGCUGCCUGCUGACACCCCCGCCUGGGUGUUUCACAGGUCUCUCGGACAUCACAGGUCCUAUACAACUCGCGAUGUCACCCGCAGACUUGCUUCUCCUCCACUCUGGCCAGUCUCAGAAGCUGUCUGCGCUCCAGCUAGCAGUCUUGGCAUCUUUGAUACCUGCCUCUAUCUCUCCUUCCGCAUCCACUCCACCUCCAUACCGCCCUGCCCGGAUCACUGCUGGAGCCUCCUCCUGCCUCUCUGAAGCCACGCCAGCUUGCCCAGCCAUUGCUUACCAUCUUAACAUGGAGGCAUGAUCACACUAUUCUUAUUCUUUUUUUUCAUGAGGAAGAUGGGCCGUGAGCUGACAUCUGUGCCCAUCUUCCUCUACUUUGUAUGUAGGAUGCUGCCACAGCAUGGCUCAAUGAGGGGUAUGUAGGUCUGCACCCAGUAUCUGAACCAGCAAACCCUGGGCCGUGGAAGCAGAGUGUGUGAACUUAACCAUUCAGCCACAGGGCCAGCCCCGUCAGUAUUCUUGUUCUUAAAACCUUCAGUGACUCACCGUUGCUUUUCCAAUAAAGACCAAAAUUCUUUUCAAGGCAGAGAUAGUUGCCCCUCCCCCAUUAUCCAUUUUUUUUUUUCUUUAGAAAGAGAACCCCUUUAUUGUAGCUGGUCACAAGGCCACUUAAGUGGACUCCAUUUCCCAGCCUUCUUUGUAGCUAGGUGGGGCCACAUGACUAAAUCCUGGUCAGAUGGAUCCAGGCGGAAGUGGUGUGUUCUCACAUGGGGGUGGGGUGGGACUUCCUUUGCCCCUUCCUCUUUCCUGCUGACAAGAAUGCAGGUGUGAUGGCUGACACUCAAGCAGCCAUAUUGGACCAUGAGGCCCAGCCAGUGCUGAGGCUGGCAGAGCAAGAAGACAGAAGGAGACUGGUUCCUGACACUGUGAUGCACACACCUGCCCUGGAUCACCUGCUUACUUUUGGGCCUUUCUUAUGAGAAACAGAAAUAAACUUAUUUUUGGUUUUCUCACAGUCCAACCAAAUCCCACCCCAAUCACAUGGCCUCUGCUGCCCUCUGGAGUCUCAGCCUGUGGCCCUUCCCUGUGCUUACUCUGCUCUAGCCACAGUGCUGACGUUGUUUCUCCUACACACCAAGCUCUGCCUCGACUCAGGGCCUUUGCACAUGCUCUCCUCUACCUGGAGCACCCUUCCCACCCUUCCCACCCUCUUUUCCUGGCCAUCUCCAGCUCACCCUUGAAGCCUCAGCUGCGAGGCUGCUUACUCCAAGAAGCCUUCCCUGACCGCAGUGGCAUACCUAGAGUAUUCAAUUCUGAGAGCAGAGGGUUAUUUUAAAAUAUCCUCCUCUGGACAUUGCUUUCAAUAAUCAUCAUGACAUGAAGAGUAAUGAUGGCCAAUAAACAAUGGAGCGAAAAUCUUCUCUCACUGAAUUUCAGAUAUCUAAUCAUCACAGUAAAAAAUAAAGUAAAACAAAUAUUACAAAAGAAAUAAAAGUCAUGGAUUAAUACUUUUUAAUUACAUUAAUGCAUUUUUUGACAAAUGGGAAAACUGCAUCUACAGCUAUUGCAGUAAUGAGUAAUAACACUACACUUUCUGUUUUCCACCUUCUGCAAAUUGUCAAUGCCUUCAUCAAAAUAAUCUUCGCAUAUUUAUGCUCAAGAAAUAGCUUAGGCGGAUUUGUCAAUUUAUCUUUAAUCGUAAUUGGCCAAAGAAUAUUUUUUAUUAAUUUUUAAUUUGGAAAUGUUUUUUCCCCACAUGUAGCAAUAGACUGAGAAAUUGCUAAGGAAAUCCUUAAACAUAAGGAUAAGUUUGGCAGAAAUUCAGAAAAAAUCCCUUUCACAAUCAGUUUCAGAAACUGCCGUUCUAGUCCGUGUCUGUUUCUUUGGGAUGGAUUCUAGCAGCUGUCAAAUAUCUUCCCAGUUGAAAAUUUUUAAACAAAUAAAAACUCCAAAUGGUCACACAGAACUAUCCUACCACUGUUUAUUUCAAACCCAGUGUUUAAACCAAGGACAUGGGGCCGCCCCGGUGUCACAGCAGUUAAGGUUGCACAUUCGGCUUCUUUGCGGCCCGGGGUUCGCCAGUUCAGAUCCCAGGUGCAGACAUGGCACCGCUUGUCAAGCCAUGCUGUGGUAGGCGUCCCACAUAUAAAGUAGAGGAAGAUGGGCACGGAUGUUAGCUCAGGACCAGGCUUCUUCAGCAAAAAGAGGAGGAUUGGCGGCAGAUGUUAGCUCAGGGCUAAUCUUCCUCAAAAAAACCCCCCACAAAAACCCACAAUAAACCAAGGACAGUACAACAGGAAUUUGAGACCCAGCUUUCCCCCAACGCGAGCCUCCACAUCACCACCGGUAGCGGGUCCCCGAGGGUCGGCAUUGGCUAAAUGACUGGGAAUUCUCUCAGUUAAUUUCCAAAUAGAAUACAUUGCUUCUUAAAGGAUAAGUAAUAAAAAUGUGCUAAUUUGAAACUUACAUAUAUGUUACUAAAAGUCAACAGUAAGUGAAACAAUUGUUGAGGCCUUAAACCAACAAAAGAAUUUUAGCGGGACGACAUUGUUUAGAAUUGCUGGUACGUAGUGAUAAUAAAAAGCAGACUGACUUUGAGUGGGUUCUUGGUAUUUUAGCAUUUGUUGCUGCCGCCGCCGCCUCUGGUUGGCCUGCAUCCGGCAGAUGCUCCCAGCCCACCCGCCCUACAGUUCCCUUUGAGGAACUUUCCUCAGUUAGAGGGUGUCUGUGUCAUGACUUCCUUGUCGUCAGUUCCCCACUAGCCUGUCUGCUCCGUGCGGACGGUCACUGUCCUGUUCGUGGCGGUACCCCAGCUCCCGGCAGAGUGCCUGUCACCCACUAGACCUCAAUAUGUAUUUGUUGAAUGAGCACAGGUGAAGACCCUGGCGUGGAGUGUGCACUCAAUAAAGGGUAGCUAAGUCACCAUUAUCUGCAGCACGUUUCGUCUGAAAUGUCACAAUCCUUUGAAUGCCGCCACAUUCAAUGUCAGGAAAACGCCGCCCCUACUUGAAGCCUGAGUGGUUCUCUUGGCUCAAACCACAUCUCCUGCGGGAUCUCGAGAAGACAACGUGACUUUCAUCUUCCCCGACAGGCAUUUACAUGGGACCACGGGUACAUCUCAUUCAUCUCCGGAGUCCCAGGCAUCCCGCCGGAGGGCCUGGCACAAAACAGGAGUCAAUAAAUACUCAUUCAACAGCCAGGGUUUCCUGAGCAUCCACCACACCGGCAGGAAUUUUCUUGCGUGUGUGUGGUUUCUGAUGGUCACGGCAACUCUCCAGAGGCAGUAUGAGCACGCUCAUUUCACAGACAGGGUGACCACCCCUGGGCCGAGUGCUUAAGUUCACAUGCUUGCUUAGGCGGCCUAGAGUUUUACCAGUUGGGAUCCUGGGCGCGGACAUGGCACCGCUCGUCAGGCCACGCUGAGGUGGCGUCCCACAUGCCACAACUAGAAGGACCCACAGCU
ensembl:lncRNA